CCUACGGGGUGCAGCAGUGGGGAAUAUUGCACAAUGGGGGAAACCCUGAUGCAGCAACGCCGCGUGAGUGAAGAAGUAUUUCGUUAUGUAAAGCUCUAUCAGCAGGGAAGACGAUGACGGUACCUGAGUACGAAGCCCCGGCUAACUACGUGCCAGCAGCCGCGGUAAUACGUAGGGGGCAAGCGUUAUCCGGAUUUACUUGGUGUAAGGGGAGCGUAGACGGCUGCGCAAGUCUGAAGUGAAAGCCCGGGGCUCAACCCCGGGAUUGCUUGGGAAACUGUGUAGCUAGAGUGCUGGAGAGGCAAGCAGAAUUCCUAGUGUAGCGGUGAAAGGCGUAGAUAUUAGGAAGAACACCAGUGGCGAAGGCGGCUUGCUGGACAGUAACUGACGUUGAGGCUCGAAAGCGUGGGGAGCAAACAGGAUUAGAUACCCCAGUAGUC
rnacentral:rRNA from 1 species